rnacentral:tRNA from 1 species
GCCUCGAUAGCUCAGUUGGGAGAGCGUUAGACUGAAGAUCUAAAGGCCACCAGUUCGAUCCUGGUUCGGGGCA